rnacentral:rRNA from 1 species
UACGGGGGGAGCAAGCGUUGUUCGGAUUUACUGGGCGUAAAGGGCGCGUAGGCGGCGUGACAAGUCACUUGUGAAAUCUCCGGGCUUAACUCGGAACGGUCAAGUGAUACUGUCGGACUAGAGUACAGAAGGGGCAACUGGAAUUCUCGGUGUAGCGGUGAAAUGCGUAGAUAUCGAGAGGAACACCUGCGGCGAAGGCGGGUUGCUGGGCUGACACUGACGCUGAGGCGCGAAAGCCAGGGGAGCAAACAGG